UGUCAAAGAAACAGUGAUAUGAAUUGACUUUUGGUUAGACCAUAUUGAUGUUAUUACACCAUAUUUUUAGGUAUACAAAAUAUUUCGAAUAAACUUUUACACAAUGUACUAUAACAUUAUAUAUUCGUAAUAAUAUCUACAAUGGAGAUAGAACUUGAAGACUGAGAAACAGUAAUCAAACACUGACAAGUUUAGUUUGCAUGCACAAACAAGUGGCAAAGGUGUAAACAAAAAGAUCAGGACACCCUCCUCAGCCCCAUUUCCUCAACGGGGCUGCAAUAAAGGAAAACAAAGAUCUAGUUGAAUUGUUACCCACGUGCGUGGCUAAAGUCUCAGCAGUUUUAAAAUCUAUCUUGCAAGCGCUGCAUAGCCCUUGCCCCUUUCUGCAUAUUCUUAUAUAUGCAGGAAAUAUACAUAUUUCAUUCUUAUCUAAAUGAAAUAUGCAGGAAGAAGCCCUCAGCGCUUGCAAGAAAGAUUUUGAACCACGCACAUAUGGGAACACAACAAGAAGUACACACCCAAACGCAAGAAGUGUUUCACAGUAUAAGGUAACAAUGCAACUAGAUCUUUCUCUUUUUAUGAGAAUAGUAUGUAAUAGAAUUGUUUUCCUUUAUUGCAGGGCCAUUGAGAAAAUGGGACUGUGUGUUUGUGCAUGCAAACUAAACUUGUCUGUGUUUGUGCAUGCAAAUAAACUUUGAUGACCGUUUUCAAUCUCUAGCUUUGUUCAAGUUCUACCUCUAUUGCAGAGAUAGCAUGCACUUGUUGAUUGAGAUGCUUCAAGUGGCCAUAAAUGCGUUGUACUUCAGAUGUUUUCAGGCAGAUAGGGUCCUAUUUAGUUGCCACCUCCAUUGCAGAGUUGGAAAAUUGAAAUGUAGGAUCAAUAGCUGGGAUCAAAUGAGUUGACUACCAACAAAAGGGAAGUUUUUGCAAAAUGGUACAGAAAGCCAAAUAAAGAAAGUUAGUAAAACUAGAUAGAGUACGAAAACAUUGUUCCUAGGGCUGCAUCUAUGGACGAAGCUACAUGGAGCUUUACAAUUCAACUCGGAAUUUAUUUAGGAUAAUAGUAUUAGGUAAAAAAAAUUGUGAGGUUUCUAUGAGCUGACACCAUUGUUAAAAAAAAUAAACACAAUAGUGUCAUUUAUUUGAACAAGUACAACUUAGUUUAGAACUACUUUUCUUUUUGAGCUUGGCUUUUUAGGUGUUAUAACCAUUGUGUACUUGUUCAAAAAGAAAAGUAGUUCUAAACUAAGUUGUACUUAUUCAAACAAAUAACAACAUUAUGUUUACUUUUUUUAACAAUCUUUAUGGUGUCAACUCAUAGAAACCUCACAAUUUUUUGAUCUAAACCU
rnacentral:lncRNA from 1 species